rnacentral:lncRNA from 1 species
AGGUGGGUCCGUUGAAUGAAUUGAUAACAUGUCGCCCUGAACAAAAAACUUAAUUAUAGAAAUGUGGUUUGAUUAUAUUUAUAUGAUGUUUUCUUAAAAAAUUGGAUUCUAACUGUUGAAUUUACUUACUUGGAAAAAAAAUGGAUCAAUGAUAGUGUGGAUGUAGUUUAAGGAUUUUAAAACUUUGCAAUACAAAAUUUAAUGCUUGAAAUUUAUUGAAGCAAAGGGAAUUUUUACAAUGUUUGGGUAAUCUUACUCAAAUUAUGUCUUAUUUAUUAUCAAUUGUGUAUAUUUUUAGGCUUUUUUAGAACCUCUUGUAAUUUUCAAAAUCUUUUCAACACAUAAAACCAUAUUUAAUGGUUUUUAAGAAUCA